CCAAGAAUAUUGCGCAAUGGGCGAAAGCCUGACGCAGCGACACCGCGUGUGGGAAGAAGCAUCUAGGUGUGUAAACCACUGUGGCAGGGGACGAAUUUUGACGGUACCCUGCUAGAAAGCACCUGCCAACUACGUGCCAGAAGCCUCGGUAAUACGUAGGGUGCAAGCGUUAUCCGGAUUUAUUGGGCGUAAGGCGUUCGUAGGCGGAGAAGUUAGUGACGGGUUAAAGCCCUCGGCCCAACUGAGGACCAGCUCGUCAAACUGCUUUUCUAGAGUGUACUCGGGGAGGUUGGAAUUCUCGGUGGAGGGGUGAAAUCCGUUGAUAUCGAGAGGAACGCCAAGGGUGAAGACAGGCCUCUAGAGUAUUACUGACGCUGAGGGACGAAAGCUAGGGUAGCAAACCGGAUUAGAGACCCGGGUAGUCCUAGCCGUAAACUUUGGAUACUAGUUGUCUGAGCAUUUUGCUCGGGUGACGCAAGCUAACGCGUUAAGUAUCCCGCCUGGGGAGUACGAUCGCAAG
rnacentral:rRNA from 1 species